rnacentral:rRNA from 1 species
AGAGUUUGAUCCUGGCUCAGGACGAACGCUGGCGGCGUGCCUAAUGCAUGCAAGUCGCACGGGCUGCCUUCGGGCAGCUAGUGGCGCACGGCUGAGGAACACGUGGGAACCUGCCCGACCGUGGGGGACAACACCGCGAAAGCGGUGCUAAUCCCGCAUACGCUCCGCGGAGGAAAGCGCUCACGCGCGCGGUCGGAGGGGCCUGCGUCCCAUCAGGUAGUUGGCGGGGUAACGGCCCACCAAGCCGACGACGGGUAGCUGGUCUGGGAGGAUGACCAGCCAGACUGGGACUGAGACACGGCCCAGACUCCUACGGGAGGCAGCAGCAAGGAAUUUUCGGCAAUGGGCGCAAGCCUGACCGAGCAACGCCGCGUGGUGGAUGACGGCCUUCGGGUUGUAAACACCUUUUCGAGGGGAAGACAUCGACGGUACCCUCGGAAUAAGCCCCGGCUAACUCUGUGCCAGCAGCCGCGGUAAGACAGAGGGGGCAAGCGUUGUCCGGAGUUACUGGGCGUAAAGCGCACGCAGGCGGCCUGGCACGUGUGGGGUGAAAGCCCUGGGCUUAACCCAGGGUGGCCCCCGCAUACGGCCAGGCUCGAGCCCGGGAGAGGUCCCUCGAAUUGCCGGUGUAGUGGUGAAAUGCGUAGAGAUCGGCAGGAAGACCAAGGGGGAAGCCAGGGGACUGGCCCGGUGCUGACGCUCAGGUGCGACAGCGUGGGGAGCGAACCGGAUUAGAUACCCGGGUAGUCCACGCCGUAAACGCUGGACACUCGGCUUGUGUGGGCUAUCGACGCCCGUGCGAGCCUCAGCUAACGCGGUAAGU